rnacentral:tRNA from 1 species
GCCCAGGUGGUGGAAUUGGCAGACACAGGGGAUUUAAAAUCCCCCGGACGGUUACGUCCUUGCGGGUUCGAGUCCCGCUCUGGGUA